AUAACCCAAUUAAGCCGACUGUGCUCUUUUCCCCACGGGGGCCUGAUGUCCAGUGGCUCCAAACAGCAGUCUGCUUGGUAGUGUAUGCAGCCUGUUGCCUGUUUGGGUUGCCCUAAAGGACCUUGGAUUCAGCC
ensembl:snoRNA SNORA70 Small nucleolar RNA SNORA70